UUGUCAACUAAACUAAUUUUCUGUUUUUAAAUGUUUUUUAAUGUAAAACUAGCAUUAAUGUCACUGUAAUCAUAAACCUUUUGAAUAUCAAUGAGCAAAUAAGACUCACACGCAUAUAUAUUUUAUCAUCUGUGGAAAGAAAAAUCAGUAAUAAAAAUUGGCCCGUUUUCUGUUUCGAUGCCAAAUCUACAUGCGCUUUGUCACUAUGGAUUGUACUGCCCUCCAGUGGCCAAAUUAUGUCAACAACUGCCUAAAGCCUAUUGAAUUUUUUAGAUUCACGUUGAGUUGUAGGCAAAAUUCCACCCAAAAAGUUGGCAUUGCAGUAAUUUGACAUGAUUUUUUAAUUAUUUUUAACUCCGACCCAAAAGUACAUUCCCCAUUGUGUCCCUCUGAGAAUAAAUUAUGACCCAUAAAAUCAAUACCUAAUGGUUCCCAUUGACUCUCGCACUACAAAAAUAAAAAUUUACAUUAGCGGUCAUUGUUUUUGAUUAAAUUUUUAAAAACAUUUUUCUUAUGUAAAAAGUGUUUGUUUUUAUUAAAAGUUAACAAAAGAAACUUUUGAUUUCGGGUUAACGUUUGGAUCCUUGUUAGGGUUUAGGGCAGGAGUCUGCAAGUCCGGCCCUCUCGAGCCGCAAUCCAGCUUAUUUUCCAUGUCUCCCUCCUUCAUCACACCUGAAUCAAAUAAUCAGGAUCGUUACCAGCAGUGCCAUAUAUUUAGAGAGUCACGACACUCCCAUAGAGAUCCAUUAUACGAUUUUACUUCCGGGUACUUCCGGGUUAUGGAGCCUUGGAUAGUUACAAACAUCGCAUUUGACAUGGCGGACACCAUUCAUUUGAACGGCAGGCCGUCAAGUAUAUUCGGAGAGGCCCUUUGUGACAUACACUUAUCUCUCAUGGCAUGAGGGAAGGUUGCAGUGCAAACUCAUAGCCUUUCUUUCCAGCUGCUCCACAACAUUGGAGGAUUCCAUGAGGGAAUCAUUCGUUGCCAAACGGAACAGAUGCUCGACAUCCUUUAAGAGAGUGAAGACCUCAUCCGAUGGCCGGUGCUUCAACCAAUGCACACUGGCAUUGGUUGCAGAGUGAGAAGCUGAUGACCCUCUUCACUAUGCAUCCUGCCAGAUGUUGCCAUUUUGCCUGACAGCGUGGUCCCUGGUGCAUCUGGGCCUAGUGUUGUGGCGCCACCGCUGGUUCCUGAUUGGUCGGCACCCGGCUCAUCCACCCCUGGAUCACCUGGCCUGGAUACGUCAUUGUCAUUGUGCUCACUUUCGCCCAACCUUCCCACCUCAAUUUCUCCCUGAAUGUCUGUAACAAUAACAAGGCAUUCUUAAUUUUAUAUGCAGUCAGUGUUUUUACAUUUGCACCUAUUGUCAUCUCCAAAGUAAAGGUACACUACACUCCUAAAGGGAAAAAAUAAAUAAAAUAACGGACAUUACUGUUACAUGAAUCAAAUCAUCUGCCACAAUCAGAAACUGCUAUGGCAUUGCCAUGUGUCAACAGUUUGGUGAUAUCAUGGAGCUGGUUCUGCUUUGCUGUUGUAUCCACCAGAAAUGUUUAGUUAUAGGUGAAAAUUAAAUGCAUAAAUAAAGCUAAAUUAUGAAGUAACUAACAAUGAAGUAGAUCGAAAUUUUGUGUGUAAAUCCCAGGACAAUUCCUGACCUCUUGUAUUUGAAGCUGAAUGUAUUAAUAUGAAAAAUGUAAUUAUAUUAUUAGGAGUGUAGUUUAUCCUUGAAUUACUUGGCAUGGGCAAUGUUGUUGACAGCUGGUCUGUAUCAUACCCAAGUUUAACCCCAAGUUUCCUCCUCUUUGGCUUCGAACGAUGAAUGAAAAUGGUUGGGACAGCA